rnacentral:lncRNA from 1 species
UGCGUUUGGAACUCAGGAAAUGGUAAGCUAAUAAAAGGUGCUGUUUUAAUUAAAGUGUUGAAUUAUUGAUCGAGCGACUUUGUGAUUCUUUAUCAUAUUACAGGUAGAAUUUCUGUGUGAGAGGGGCGCUGACGUUAAUAGAGGCCAAAGGUCCUCAUCGUUACACUAUGCUGCAUGUUUUGGAAGACCUCAAGUAGCAAAGACUCUGUUACGGCAUGGUGCAAAUCCGGAUCUCAGAGAUGAAGAUGGGAAAACACCAUUGGAUAAAGCUCGAGAAAGAGGCCACAGUGAAGUAGUAGCAAUUCUCCAGUCGCCAGGUGAUUGGAUGUGUCCAGUUAAUAAAGGGGAUGAUAAAAAAAAGAAAGAUACAAACAAAGAUGAAGAAGAGUGUAAUGAGCCCAAAGGAGACCCGGAAAUGGCACCAGUAUACUUGAAGAGGCUGUUGCCUGUGUUUGCACAAACAUUUCAGCACACUAUGUUGCCUUCAAUAAGGAAAGCCAGUCUUGCUUUAAUUCGAAAAAUGAUUCACUUUUGCUCUGAAGCACUGUUAAAAGAAGUCUGUGAUUCUGACG